AGAGCGAACGCUGGCGGCAGGCCUAACACAUGCAAGUCGAGCGCCCGUAGCAAUACGGGAGCGGCAGACGGGAUAGUAACACGUGGGAACGCGCCCUUCGGUUCGGAAUAACUCAGGGAAACUUGAGCUAAUACCGAAUACGCCCUUACGGGGAAAGAUUUAUUGCCGAAGGAACGGCCCGCGUCCGAUUAGCUAGUUGGUGAGGUAAUGGCUCACCAAGGCUACGAUCGGUAGCUGGUCUGAGAGGAUGACCAGCAUCACUGGGACUGAGACACGGCCCAGACUCCUACGGGAGGCAGCAGUGGGGAAUAUUGGACAAUGGGCGAAAGCCUGAUCCAGCCAUGCCGCGUGGAUGAUGAAGGCCUUAGGGUUGUAAAGUCCUUUAACGGGGAAGAUAAUGACGGUACCGUAGAAUAAGCCCGGCUAACUUCGCGCCAGCAGCCGC
rnacentral:rRNA from 1 species